AUGAAGAAAUUAAGGCUUAGAGACAUUAAGUACCUUCUUUUUGGUUACACGGGUACUAAUUCAGGCUUGGGAACGAAAAGCUCUUAUUCCAAACCAGCAGGCUUUCUGUGGUUCUCCAGGAUAGAAAGCUUUGCUGACAUCACGAUGUGGGCUGGAUUCCCCGCCACGCUGAACCUGACGGCAUUGCUGCUCUUCACCCAACAGGGAGCAAGUGCCAAGCUGUGGUUCUCUGGAAGCUACCUUCACUUGGAGCAUCCCUCUGUGCUCAUGGAGGAGGAAAACACACGGCCCAGUUACUCCGAUCUUCAAAGGAAUCCUGAUCGCUGUUUCCUUCAGACUCCACAUGAAUGAUUUAGCAUCUCUUGCGCAGUCUGGAGGCGGGCAAUCGGCUAGUGCUGUAAGAAUUCAUUGUAUAAUCUCUAAGCAAGAGACUUGUCAGUCGUCUAGUGGCCUCUCUUAUCGUGUGAUCAGACUUGGCAUCUAAUGCAAUGAUCUCAGACUUUGGGGCCUUAGCCAAAACUGGGACAGCAGGAAAAGUAACUGUAAGCGUCCCAUUCUAUCUGCUGCAACAACAUUGUGUUUCUCCUUGCUUCCGACACAGCUCCCUCAACCCCUAUGUACCCUCCAUGCUUUACUGCAUUAACUAUGCGCUUAUUAGAAGACCCUAAGUAUAAUAAAAAUUGCAUUCCUAUACUCA
rnacentral:lncRNA from 1 species